GGGCUACUGGCCCAAUGGCAAGGCGUUUGACUUCGAAUCAAAAGAUUGUAGGUUCGACCCCUGCGUGGCUCA
rnacentral:tRNA from 2 species